AAGGUAUGCUUAAAGAGGGGCUUGCGCCACAUUAGUUAGUUGGUAGAGUAAAAGCCUACCAAGACGAUGAUGUGUAGCUGGACUGAGAGGUUGAACAGCCACAUUGGGACUGAGACACGGCCCAAACUCCUACGGGAGGCAGCAGUAGGGAAUUUUCGGCAAUGGAGGAAACUCUGACCGAGCAACGCCGCGUGAACGAUGAAGUAUUUCGGUAUGUAAAGUUCUUUUAUUGAAGAAGAAAAAGUAGUGGAAAAACUAUAUUGACGUUAUUCAAUGAAUAAGCCCCGGCUAACUAUGUGCCAGCAGCCGCGGUAAGACAUAGGGGGCGAGCGUUAUCCGGAAUUAUUGGGCGUAAAGGGUGCGUAGGCUGUUAGAUAAGUCUAUAAUUUAAUUUCAGUGCUUAACGCUGUCUUGUUAUAGAAACUGUCUUGACUAGAGUGAGAUAGAGGCAAGCGGAAUUCCAUGUGUAGCGGUAAAAUGUGUAAAUAUAUGGAGGAACACCAGAAGCGUAGGCGGCUUGCUGGGUCUUUACUGACGCUGAGGCACGAAAGCGUGGGUAGCAAACAGGAUUAGAUACCCUGGUAGUCCACGCCGUAAACGAUGAGUACUAAGUGUCGGGGUAAAACUCGGUACUGAAGUUAACACAUUAAGUACUCCGCCUGAGUAGUACGUACGCAAGUAUGAAACUUAAAGGAAUUGACGGGACUCCGCACAAGCGGUGGAUCAUGUUGUUUAAUUCGAAGAUACACGAAAAAUCUUACCAGGUCUUGACAUACUCUGCAAAGCUAUAGAAAUAUAGUGGAGGUUAUCAGGGAUACAGGUGGUGCAUGGUUGUCGUCAGUUCGUGUCGUGAGAUGUUAGGUUAAGUCCUAAAACGAACGCAACCCUUGUCGUUAAUUGCCAGCACAUAAUGGUGGGGACUUUAACGAGACUGCCAAUUAAACAUUGGAGGAAGGUGAGGAUUACGUCAAAUCAUCAUGCCCCUUAUGAUCUGGGCUACAAACGUGAUACAAUGGCUGUGACAAAGAGUAGCUGAAACGCGAGUUUUUAGCCAAUCUCAAAAAAGCAGUCUCAGUUCGGAUUGAAGUCUGUAACUCGACUUCAUGAAGUUGGAAUCGCUAGUAAUCGCGAAUCAGCAUGUCGCGGUGAAUACGUUCUCGGGGUUUGUACACACCGCCCGUCAAACCACGAAAGUUAGCAAUGCCCGAAAGCAGUAGCUUAACUUCGCAAGAAGAGGGAACUGUCUA
rnacentral:rRNA from 1 species